GGAAGAGGAAACAGGAGUAGAGAUACCUGCCAGCAAAUCAACUGUACUACGUGGCCAUGAAUCUGAAGUUUUCAUCUGCGCCUGAACCCAACAACUGAUUUAUUGGCUUCUGGCUCAGAUUGGGAACCUGAAUGCUAUUCAGAUGUGGUACAUGUAACAAGACACUUGUGUUCAUGAUUCGCAAGCACACAACAAGGAAAUCUACACCAUAAAAUGGAGUCUUACCGGUACAGUUGAUUUGCUGGCAGGUAUCUCUACUCCUGUUUCCUCUUCCCAGCCUUCAUUAAAUAGUUGAAGGGAAAAUAAGUAAGUAGUUCAGGGGAUCAAAGAAAAGUAUUGACCAUCUUACGAUAGGAAUGCAUGGGUUCAUCUCCAUUGGAAUUUGGUGGUUCUGUCUUUACCACUUGUGGUUUCUGAUUGUUCUGUGUUUGCUGUUGACGACUUGCAACAACAUCAGGCAUCACAGCAUCAAUGAGUGAUAAGCUUUCCAUGGGUUGUUCCGAACCAUCCUGAAAAACAAAAACAUACACGAGUAAAAAUUUGGUGGUAGAUAAAUUUCAUCAUAUUAAAAUUGUCACUCACAUCUCCAACACUGAUCUCAGACCCUUCUGGAUGAUGGAGAGAAGGGCUGCUGUUGCUACCAAUUGAUGUUGGAUUGUGAAAUAUGUGACUCUAUGCCAAAGGUGUAAGCAGAAUGCUGAAAACCUAUUUGAAAGGCAAUCAGCAGCGAUCAUGACGCCAUCAGGGUAGUCCAAUCAUGACGCUACCUAUUCACACAAGUUGAUAAUUACAAUAGUAGCAACUUAAGAUUGAAAAUAACAUGAUAUAAUUCUCUAACAUACCCGAAUUGAAGGUAAACAACUUACUCCAGCGAUAGCAUUGCACCAUAGACCACGCUAUUGAUGACGCUUGAUGUGUUGGCGUCUGCUAUGUGUGUGAAUCAAUUUGAAAUGAAAAUGAUUCAAAAUUGAAUUCUUACAGAUCAAAUGUAACGAAAAUUGUAAUUCAAAUUUUAAAAUGAUUAAAAAUAAAAUGUACACAUGUUGAA